UUUCAUGUUAUUCUAAUUUUAUACCGUAUGUAAUAUUUUUUAUUUUUUUUAUUUUUAUUUUUCAUUUUUCACCGGCUAAAGAUGCCACAAAAAUGGAUGAUGCGACGGCUGAUGUUAUUCUACGGGAUAUAUUGAACAAACCUGAUUAUUGUCACAACACAUCUAUACAGAACAGCAAUGUUGUUGAUGAGCAACCGUUUUUCCCACACGCGACAGGGGGUCGUGCUAAAACAUUCGAAUAUAAAGCAGAUGACGCUGUAGCAAUGCGUUAUGCGCCGACGAUACCAUCAGGAUGUGAUACAGUAGCGCAAAUACCCCGUCUUAGUACAAGCGGGAAAAUAUCAAAACGCACAACCGCCGCUGAAACGGAAAGCCAUCAAUUCGCAGCAGCAGAUGAUGCUGUAGCAAGACGCUAUGCUCCUUUGAUACCAACAGUCAGUGAUACAUGCGCGCAGAUACACAGACCUAGUACAAGCGGGAAAAUAUCAAAACGCACAACCGCCGCUGAAGCGGAGAACCAUCAAUUCGUAACGCCGGCAAUUGUACAUAAGGACGUUGCUAGGUCAUCAGUUAUGGCUGUGCAUAACGGCUGUAUCGUCCCGAACAAACGAAAGCCAGCU